rnacentral:lncRNA from 1 species
AGAAGAGGAAGCAGAGGUGAAUUUUAAUCUUCAGAUUGUGUAAUCAGUUCCCAGAUGACUGAGAGCUGGCUUCCGUUCACCUUUGAUUUACUACUACACCCACUACAGGGACAGGCAGAAUGAAAAGAACCAGACUUCCCAUGUUAGAAGCAGACCUGAUAGUGCUGCUCUCCUUUGCAGAGACAAUCCUAGUAAUACUAAAAGGAGUGUACCGGAACACCAGGAAGCUGGGUGCAAAAUCAAAGCAACUCUUCCC